rnacentral:rRNA from 1 species
UACGAAGGGGGCUAGCAUUGCUCGGAAUCACUGGGCGUAAAGGGCGCGUAGGCGGGUCUUUAAGUCAGGGGUGAAAUCCUGGAGCUCAACUCCAGAACUGCCUUUGAUACUGAGGAUCUUGAGUCCGGGAGAGGUGAGUGGAACUGCGAGUGUAGAGGUGAAAUUCGUAGAUAUUCGCAAGAACACCAGUGGCGAAGGCGGCUCACUGGCCCGGUACUGACGCUGAGGCACGAAAGCGUGGGGAGCAAACAGG